UACAGAGGUCUCGAGCGUUGUUCGGAUUCAUUGGGCGUAAAGGGUGCGUAGGUGGCGCUGUAAGUCGGGUGUGAAAUCCUGAGGCUUAACCUCGGAACUGCAUUCGAUACUGCGGCGCUUGAGGACUGGAGAGGAGACUGGAAUUCAUGGUGUAGCAGUGAAAUGCGUAGAGAUCAUGAGGAACACCGGUGGCGAAGGCGGGUCCCUGGGCCGAUACUGACGCUGAGGAGCGAAAGCGUGGGGAGCGAACAGG
rnacentral:rRNA from 1 species